UACGUAGGGAGCGAGCGUUGUCCGGAAUUACUGGGUGUAAAGGGAGCGUAGGCGGGGAUGCAAGUUGGGUGUCAAAACUACCGGCUUAACUGGUAGUCGCACUCAAAACUGCAGCUCUUGAGUGAAGUAGAGGCAGGCGGAAUUCCUAGUGUAGCGGUGAAAUGCGUAGAUAUUAGGAGGAACACCAGUGGCGAAGGCGGCCUGCUGGGCUUUUACUGACGCUGAGGCUCGAAAGUGUGGGGAGCAAACAGG
rnacentral:rRNA from 1 species